ensembl:processed_transcript Gm20688 predicted gene 20688
UGGGACCUGAACUCACUUGGUCUGCAAGAGAACCAUGCAUCUGAAUAAAGAAACUCUCUCUCCAGCCCAUUACAAUAACAAGUGCCUUUACUAACCUGGAACUCAUCACUGUGACCAGAUUGGCUGACAAGAGAGCAUGAGGACCCUCCUAACCUUGCAUCCCCAAGCAGGGAUGACAGGCCCAGGCCCUGAACCUGGCUUUCCUAUGUGGCCUCUGGAAGACUGAACUCGGGUCCUCCUGUUUGUAUGACAAACACUGCACCAACUUAGCCACAUCCUCAGGUCCCUUUUAAUGCUUUAAGCAGAAUCUUCUGUUGUCCUCAGGACACAGUGCCUCAUGGUCAAGGUCACAUGGAGUGUCUCACACCAAGAAAGCGCCCAUGGGAAAGAACAGUUAAUCUGAUAGACGUUACCACAGGCAGGAAGGCACUGUCCAGGACGGCUGCUCUAAGACAAAGACACAACAAGUCUGUCAGUUCCUUCAGCUGGAGACUCACAGCAGAUGAGCUGAG